GUUUUAUGUGCCUACAAUCCUAAAUCAAGUAGAGGCUCGACUGGAUCAGCACAUUCAUAAAAUGUAAGACAAAGAAAGCAGCUGCUGAGGCCUUGCCUGGGCUUGCUGCCUUAGAAGCCGCUGCUGCUGUUGCUGCUGCUGCUGUUGUUGCUGCUGCUGCUGAAGUAGCUUCAUCUGGAGCAGUUGUUGCUGCUGCUGCUGCUGCUGCUGCUGCUGCUGCUGCUGCUGCUGUGAAGCAAUUGCAUGAAUUGACGGUGGCUGCAUCAUGGUAC